AAGGUUGUUCCAAUAAGUUCGAUACAAUCAUGACAUAACAAUAUUGUUGUCAACCUUGUAACAUUCAUGUUAUAUCAUGACUGUAUCAGACUUGUUAGAACAACCUUGUAACAUUCUUGUUAUAUCAUGACUGUAUCAAACUUGUUAGAACAACCUU